rnacentral:rRNA from 1 species
UACGAAGGGUGCAAGCGUUACUCGGAAUUACUGGGCGUAAAGGGCGCGUAGGCGGCACCGCAAGUCGACUGUGAAAAUCUCCGGGCUUAACUCGGAAAGGUCAGCCGAUACUGCGGGGCUAGAGUGCAGAAGGGGCAACUGGAAUUCCCGGUGUAGCGGUGAAAUGCGCAGAUAUCGGGAAGAACACCCGUGGCGAAGGCGGCUCUCUGGGACGGUACUGACGCUGAGACGCGAAAGCGUGGGGAGCGAACAGG